AUGCCUUCUCCAUUCUCUCUGAGUAUGUUAGCUCUCAGUGGUCUCUCUUGCUCACUGCUGCCAUUACUGCUGCUAUCACUGCUGCUAUUACUGCUGCUAUCACUGCUGCUAUUACUGCUGCUAUCACUGCUGCUAUCACUGCUGUUAUUACUGCUGCUAUCACUGCAAUUAUUGCUGCUAUUACUGAUGCUAUCACUGCUGCUAUCACUGCUGUUAUUACUGCUGCUAUCACUGCAAUUAUUGCUGCUAUUACUGCUGCUAUCACUACUGCUAUUACUGCUGCUAUCACUGCUGCUAUCACUGCUGUUAUUACUGCUGCUAUCACUGCAAUUAUUGCUGCUAUUACUGCUGCUAUUACUGAUGCUAUCACUGCGACCAUUGCUACUAUUACUGCUGCUAUUACUACUGCUAUCACUGCUGCUAUUACUACUGCUAUCACUGCUGCUAUUACUGCUGCUAUUACAGAUGCUAUUACUGCUGCUGUCACUACUGCUAUCACUGCUGCUAUUACUGCUGCUAUCACUGCUGUAUUACUACUGCUAUUACUGCUGCUAUCACUGCGGUAUUACUACUGCUAUCACUGCUGCUAUCACUGCUGCUAUUACUGCUGCUAUCACUACUGCUAUCACUGCUGCUAUUACUGCUGCUAUCACUACUGCUAUCACUGCUGCUAUUACUGCUGCUAUCACUGCUGUAUUACUACUGCUAUUACUGCUGCUAUUACUGCUGCUAUUACAGAUGCUAUUACUGCUGCUGUCACUACUGCUAUCACUGCUGCUAUUACUGCUGCUAUUACUACUGCUAUCACUGCUGCUAUCACUGCUGCUAUCACUGCUGCUAUUACUACUGCUAUCACUGCUGCUAUUACUGCUGCUAUUACUACUGCUAUCACUGCUGCUAUCACUGCUGCUAUCACUGCUGCUGUCACUGCUGCUAUUACUGCUGCUAUCACUGCUGCUAUUACUGCUGCUAUCACUGCUGUAUUACUACUGCUAUUACUGCUGCUAUCACUGCGGUAUUACUACUGCUAUCACUGCUGCUAUCACUGCUGCUAUUACUACUGCUAUCACUGCUGCUAUUACUGCUGCUAUUACUACUGCUAUCACUGCUGCUAUCACUGCUGCUAUUACUGCUGCUAUCACUGCUGCUAUUACUGCUCCUGUCACUGCUGCUAUUACUGUGGCUAUUACUGCUGCUAUCACUGCUGCUAUCACUGCUGAUAUUACUGCUGCUAUCACUGCUGCUAUUACUGCUGCUAUCACUGCUGUUAUCACUGCUGCUUGUGCCGUGUCCAUCCAUAGAGUUACAGUGGAUGUUUGCCUCACCAUAUAUUGCUUUUCAACCUCUCUUAAAGGAAACCCCAAACAUACUUUGAUUUGUGUUUGCUAUGUGGGCCUCAACUCUUGGGAGAAUAUACUUGAGUUUCCCGUGAUAAAGUGA
rnacentral:lncRNA from 1 species